rnacentral:rRNA from 1 species
UAGGGAAUAUUGCACAAUGGGCGAAAGCCUGAUGCAGCAACGCCGCGUGCGCGAUGAAGGCCUUCGGGUCGUAAAGCGCUUUUCGGGGAGAAGAGGAAGGACGGUAUCCCCGGAAUAAGGCUCGGCUAACUACGUGCCAGCAGCCGCGGUAAAACGUAGGAGCCAAGCGUUAUCCGAAUUCACUGGGCGUAAAGCGCAUGUAGGCGGCUUGGUAAGUUGGAUGUGAAAUCUCCUGGCUCAACUGGGAGGGGACGUUCAAUACUGUCGAGCUUGAGGGCAGCAGAGGGAGGUGGAAUUCCCGGUGUAGUGGUGAAAUGCGUAGAUAUCGGGAGGAACACCAGUGGCGAAAGCGGCCUCCUGGGCUGCACCUGACGCUCAGAUGCGAAAGCUAGGGGAGCAAACGGG